AGUGAACGCUGGCGGUAGGCCUAACACAUGCAAGUCGAACGGCAGCACAGUAAGAGCUUGCUCUUACGGGUGGCGAGUGGCGGACGGGUGAGGAAUACAUCGGAAUCUACUUUUUCGUGGGGGAUAACGUAGGGAAACUUACGCUAAUACCGCAUACGACCUACGGUUGAAAGCAGGGGAUCUUCGGACCUUGCGCGAUUGAAUGAGCCGAUGUCGGAUUAGCUAGUUGGCGGGGUAAAGGCCCACCAAGGCGACGAUCCGUAGCUGGUCUGAGAGGAGGGUCAGCCACACUGGAACUGAGACAAGGUCCAGACUCCUACGGGAGGCAGCAGUGGGGAAUAUUGGACAAUGGGCGCAAGCCUGAUCCAGCCAUACCGCGUGGGUGAAGAAGGCCUUCGGGUUGUAAAGCCCUUUUGUUGGGAAAGAAAAGCAGCAGGUUAAUACCCCGCGGUUCUGACGGUACCGAAAGAAUAAGUACCGGCUAACUUCGUG
rnacentral:rRNA from 1 species